rnacentral:tRNA from 1 species
GAUGUAGCUCAGUGGCAGAGUGCUUGCUUGAUAUGCAGGAGGCCCUGGGCUCAAUUCUCAACAUC